UACGAAGGGUGCAAACGUUGCUCGGAAUUACUGGGUGUAAAGCGCGCGUAGGCGGGAGGCCAAGUCCGCUGUGAAAUCGCCCGGCUCAACUGGGCGCGGUCGGUGGAAACUGGUCACCUGGAGGACGGUAGAGGCGAGUGGAAUUCCCGGUGUAGUGGUGAAAUGCGUAGAGAUCGGGAGGAACACCAGUGGCGAAGGCGGCUCGCUGGGCCGGCCCUGACGCUGAGGCGCGAAGGCGUGGGGAGCGAACGGG
rnacentral:rRNA from 1 species